rnacentral:rRNA from 1 species
UACGAAGGGGGCUAGCGUUGCUCGGAAUCACUGGGCGUAAAGCGCACGUAGGCGGCUUUCUAAGUCAGGGGUGAAAUCCUGGAGCUCAACUCCAGAACUGCCUUUGAUACUGGAAAGCUUGAGUUCGGGAGAGGUGAGUGGAACUGCGAGUGUAGAGGUGAAAUUCGUAGAUAUUCGCAAGAACACCAGUGGCGAAGGCGGCUCACUGGCCCGAUACUGACGCUCAUGCACGAAAGCGUGGGGAGCAAACAGG